rnacentral:rRNA from 1 species
AAGUCCCAAGUUCCAAGUUUUGAGUUUAUCUUAAACACUUGUUACAUGGCACCUGAUACUUUAUUACAUUUCUAGUGGCGGACGGGUGAGUAACACGUUGGAACCUGCCCCAAAGUGAGGAAUAAGCCACCGAAAGGUGGUCUAAUACUUCAUAAUAUCCAUCUCGUAUGGAUUAAAGCUUUAUGCGCUUUGGGAGGGGCCUGCGUAACAUUAGCUUGUCGGUGAGGUAAAAGCUCACCAAGGCUUCGAUGUUUAACUGGUUUGAGAGGAUGACCAGUCACACUGGGACUGAGAUACGGCCCAGACUCCUACGGGAGGCAGCAGUAAGGAAUCUUCCACAAUGGGGCAACCCUGAUGGAGCAAUACCGCGUGCAGGAUGAAGCGUUUCGGCGUGUAAACUGCUUUUAUCACCGAAGAUUAUGACUGUAGGUGAAGAAUAAGGACCGGCUAACUACGUG